CUAUGAUGAAAGAUCCCUUUGGAAACUAUGUUGUCCAGAAGGUGCUCGAGACUUGUGAUGAUCAAAGCCGCGGGCUAAUUGUCUCUCGUAUUAAGGUGCACUUGAAUGCGUUAAAGAAAUACACUUACGGGAAGCAUAUUGUUUCUCGUGUUGAGAAGCUCAUAGCAACUGGAGAGAAGCAUAUGGCAAUAUCCUCUUCUUGAAUUGAAUGACAGAAAACCCCAUAUAACAAGAUGGGAUGGUGGCUCAGCCGCAGCAGCGCCUUUUAGUUGAUUGGAACCUCUACUACUUGUACUUGUAGAUAGACUACACACUUCUUUUUUGCUUCCGUUGGAAUAAGACUUUCAUUUUGUCUUUUCCAUCCGUAUGUAGCCCUCUUAUAAAGUUUAUGCAUAGUUUUUAGAAAGUCAAGAAGGUGUAGUGAGAGGAAGAAUUUGUAUUGACUCUUUUCCUCAAUCAGCAUGUGUAAGUAACUGGGCAAUUAUUUGUAGAGAGAUUGACUGUACAUGAUCGCUUUUCAAUGAUGGAAAAAGCUUGGUAAAAAUGGCUAUCAUGAUGCACUUUGAUGCAUUCGAAC